UUUUGUAGAAUGAACCGGCGAGUUACGAUUUGUUGCAAGGUUAAGCGGAAAAAGCGGAGCCGUAGCGAAAGCGAGUCUGAAUAGGGCGCAUAAGUAACAGGUCGUAGACCCGAAACCAGGUGAUCUACCCAUGUCCAGGAUGAAGGUAAGGUAAUACUUACUGGAGGUCCGAACCCACGCACGUUGAAAAGUGCGGGGAUGAGGUGUGGGUAGCGGAGAAAUUCCAAUCGAACUUGGAGAUAGCUGGUUCUCUCCGAAAUAGCUUUAGGGCUAGCCUCGAGGUAAAGAGUCAUGGAGGUAGAGCACUGUUUGGACUAGGGGCCCUUCUCGGGUUACCGAAUUCAGAUAAACUCCGAAUGCCAUGUACUUAUACUCGGGAGUCAGACUGCGAGUGAUAAGAUCCGUAGUCGAAAGGGAAACAGCCCAGACCACCAGUUAAGGUCCCCAAAUAUAUGUUAAGUGGAAAAGGAUGUGGGGUUGCUUAGACAACCAGGAUGUUGGCUUAGAAGCAGCCACCAUUGAAAGAGUGCGUAAUAGCUCACUGGUCGAGUGACCCCGCGCCGAAAAUGUACCGGGGCUAAACAUAUUACCGAAACUGUGGAUGAACCUCUUUAGAGGUUCGUGGUAGGAGAGCGUUCUAAGGGCGGUGAAGUCAGACCGGAAGGACUGGUGGAGCGCUUAGAAGUGAGAAUGCCGGUAUGAGUAGCGAAAGAAGGGUGAGAAUCCCUUCCACCGAAUAUCUAAGGUUUCCUGAGGAAGGCUCGUCCGCUCAGGGUUAGUCGGGACCUAAGCCGAGGCCGAUAGGCGUAGGCGAUGGACAACAGGUAGAGAUUCCUGUACCAGUGCUAAUUGUUUAACCGAUGGGGUGACACAGAAGGAUAGGGAAUCGCACGAAUGGAAAUGUGCGUCCAAGCAGUGAGUGUGAGAAGUAGGCAAAUCCG
rnacentral:rRNA from 1 species